UGGCUCGAAGUUUCUUUUCUAAAGAACAUUUGAAGAACCGCCUUUUUAAGAGGGUGGUGCUGAUACGGUACUCAGUGUUGGUAUCGGUCCGAUACCGGCCGCGGUCACUGGAUCGGGUAACAACGCUGUGCAGGAGCUCCAUAGAGACCCAUUCAUUUUGAACUCUCUCACCAGCGCCCUCUGGCGGACUCUACUGGAAACGUUCAACGAGCGAGAGCCGAGGC